UACAGAGGAGCCAAGCGUUGUCCGGAUUGACUGGGCGUAAAGCGCACGCAGGCGGUUGCGCGCGUGGGGUGUGAAAUCUGGCCGCUUAACGGCCAGGCGCCAUCCCAUACGGCGCGACUGGAGUGAUGCAGAGGUCGAUGGAAUUGCCGGUGUAGUGGUGAAAUGCGUAGAGAUCGGCAGGAACACCCAGGGGGGAAACCAGUCGACUGGGCAUCUACUGACGCUGAGGUGCGAGAGCGUGGGGAGCGAACCGG
rnacentral:rRNA from 1 species